AACGAACGCUGGCGGCAUGCCUAACACAUGCAAGUCGAACGAAGCCUUCGGGCUUAGUGGCGCACGGGCGCGUAACGCGUGGGAAUCUGCCCUUUGGUUCGGAAUAACAGUUGGAAACGACUGCUAAUACCGGAUGAUGACGAAAGUCCAAAGAUUUAUCGCCAGAGGAUGAGCCCGCGUAGGAUUAGCUAGUUGGUGUGGUAAAGGCGCACCAAGGCGACGAUCCUUAGCUGGUCUGAGAGGAUGAUCAGCUACACUGGGACUGAGACACGGCCCAGACUCCUACGGGAGGCAGCAGUGGGGAAUAUUGGACAAUGGGCGAAAGCCUGAUCCAGCAAUGCCGCGUGAGUGAUGAAGGCCCUAGGGUUGUAAAGCUCUUUUACCCGGGAUGAUAAUGACAGUACCGGGAGAAUAAGCCCCGGCUAACUCCGUGCCAGCCGCCGCUGUAA
rnacentral:rRNA from 1 species